GACGAACGCUGGCGGCGUGCUUAACACAUGCAAGUCGAACGGAAAGGCCCUGCUUUUGUGGGGUGCUCGAGUGGCGAACGGGUGAGUAACACGUGAGUAACCUGCCCUUGACUUUGGGAUAACUUCAGGAAACUGGGGCUAAUACCGGAUAGGAGCUCCUGCUGCAUGGUGGGGGUUGGAAAGUUUCGGCGGUUGGGGAUGGACUCGCGGCUUAUCAGCUUGCUGGUGGGGUAGUGGCUUACCAAGGCUUUGACGGGUAGCCGGCCUGAGAGGGUGACCGGCCACAUUGGGACUGAGAUACGGCCCAGACUCCUACGGGAGGCAGCAGUGGGGAAUAUUGCACAAUGGGCGGAAGCCUGAUGCAGCAACGCCGCGUGCGGGAUGACGGCCUUCGGGUUGUAAACCGCUUUCGCCUGUGACGAAGCGUGAGUGACGGUAAUGGGUAAAGAAGCACCGGCUAACUACGUG
rnacentral:rRNA from 1 species